UAAAUUUCAAUUUUUUUUUCCAAUCUUAUGCGACUACUCUCUCUAACCUAUACCGUCCCUAGAGACGUAGAGCUAUAUAAAGUGGCAAAGAACCAUAGAGACUCAUGGUAGUACCGUCCAUCGUUAUAUCAAACUCUUCUAGAAUUCUAAUUAGCCAAAAAAAAAAAAAAAAAAAAAAAAAGCAAAAAAACCUCUUUAGUUAUAGGUUCUUUGGCUAUACGCAUUCUUAAAACCCAAAACCCUAACCUUUGAGCUCUUUCUCUCUGCUUUCUCUCUUUAUUCCUCAAACCAAUUUUUUUUUUUUAAAAUUACAUGAAGAAGAGAGCUUCUCUUCAGUUUUGGGGCUACGUACAGGUUAAGGACUUUGGAAAUUAAUAUGGUAUUCCAAAUAAAUAGCUUUGUGUUGCAGAGUUCCAUGAUAGCAACAAACUAAGACCUUCAACAUAUUUCUUCAAUAUAUGCAGAUUCUUGCCAGGAUUGUAACAGCAGUAAAAGUUAUUCAUAGCAGAGUUCCAUGAUAGCUAUGAGCAACAAACUAAGACCUUCAACAUAUUUCUUCAAUAUAUGCAGAUUCUUGCCAGGAUUGUAACAGGGCUUUGAGGAGUACACAAAUUUGAUUUUGGAAGAUGUUGGAAAAGUCAACAUCAAGAGGGAGAGCAAAAAACUUUAGGUGGGUUCAUUUUCUUAUUUUCCUUUAUUUUUAAUCUCAGAAAUGUGCAUACUCUAAAUGUGGUACAUCUAUUUUGUUAUUUGUCGAUUACAUAUCAAAAAAAAUGUACAGGGUAGAUUCUUCUUAAGAGAUGCAACACAACAGCCAUCCCUCUUUCUUUCUCUCUCUCUCUCUCUCAAUAGUGGAAAUAAUGAUUUCAGAAAUCAUGUAAAUUGGCAUUAUGUUGCCUUUUCAAUCCCAUUGAGGUCUAGCAUCUUUGUUUACUGGCAAUGUUAGAAUUUAGAUACAUCUUGGACAUAAAAAAAGAUUAAUGUAAUUUAUGAAAGAUAUUUGAUUGAAUGAGUAUGGAAUUAACUAUAUUUGUGUAAUUAA